GCCAGAAUAGCACAACGGCAGUGCAGCUGAUUUGUAAUCAGCAGGUUGUGGGUUCAAGUCCCUCUUCUGGCUCCA
rnacentral:tRNA from 1 species